rnacentral:lncRNA from 1 species
AUGUGGAGGGGUAGUGACCUGCGCCCCCGGCCGGUGUCACUCACAGGCCUCACUCUGGUUGUAGUAGCCGCUCAGGGUCCGCAGGUUCACUCGGUAAAACUGUGCUUUGGCCUUGGCGGUCCCUGUCUCCUCUUCCCAAUAUUCCGGCCCCUCCUGCUCCAUCCACGGCGCCCGCGGCUCCAUCCUGGGACUCGUGGCGUCGCUGUCGAGCCGCACGCACUGCGUGUCGUCCACGUCGCCCACGGAGAGGAAGCGGGGAUCCGCGCGGCCGGGCCGGGACAUGGUGGUGUGGAAAUACCUCAAGGAGUGGAAGCCUGGGAGCAAGGAGGGGGCUGAGACCCUCCCGACCCUCCUCCCGGCACCGCAACCGGGUUCCUGCGCCCCCGCCGGGCAGGCCCCUAGCUACUCCCCACAGACGCCGUUUCCCUCCCGACCCCGCACUCACCUGCCCAGGUCUGGGUCAGGACCAGGGCCCCCGAGAGCAGCAGAAGCAGGGUUCGGGGCGCCAUGACACCAUCCUCGGCGACUGGGAAGAAUCGGAGUCCCGGUGGGUGCGUGGGAACUUUAGAACCGGGACCGCGGCUACAUUGAUUGGCUUCUCUAGAAACCCGACACUCAAUGGGAGUGAGAACUGGGGCAGCCCGGUGAGUACCCAGGAAGAAGGACCCGACACAGGUUGGGAGAGGGAGAAGAGAAACCCUGCAAAGAUGGGGAAUGCCCAGCGCUGGGCCUCCCCAAUCCAUACACCGCCUUUGGGGCCUGAGAUCCUGAGAGCCACGCCUGAGGCCCUGGGACUUCGCCCUGACCCCGCUACUUCUGUGCCAAGCGCUCUGUCUCAAUGUUUCCCUGAGUCUUGGCCCAGGAGCUGUCUGAGAAACCAGGGAGAAACCCUCGGAAUGGGCCCCGUCCCUCUCUCUUCACUUUGCAUCACGGAAUCCCCGUCCCAGAACUGGACUCCCUGCCUCCUACUCCUUACCUGUCCCCGUGGACUCUUCUAG